UGAAAAGCCUUUUUGGUUUCCUUUAGAGUCGGUAACUGCAUCAAGACUUCCCAAAUCCCCAGGUGUAUCAUUAGCACUACCCAGAGUGAUGCCCAGGUCGUCAGACGCCUCAGACUUUGCCGACUCUUUAUUUCCCCUCCCACCGUCCUCGCUCCCAGAUGACGUUUUACCAUCAUCUAUACGGAGGUUCAUCUUCACACCUCCCAAUACAAUAGGGAUGUUUCCUCUUAUAGGGCUCAGGGGCACCUCGGGCGACUGAUCGAAAAUUCGAUGAGAAGAACGAUAAGCAGCAAUCUCACUUCCGUAUCCAUUGAAUUUAUAGAUACCGGUCGGUGCUGAGUAGGCGGUGACGUAGAUGGCCCUGCUUUAGCGAAAGGACUGGAUAAAUUGCUAGUUUUAGCACUUGGGCUUGUUGUACCGCAAGUCAUUUUUGUUAAUGCCUCCUCAAGCCUGAAUAAACGCUUAGAAGGGUCAUGAUACAUCUUUACUGGUUGCGAAGUAUUUGUCGAAACGCUCGGCUCGUCUUCGUCUUCUUCAAGUCUCCAUAGAGCGGCGUUGGAUUGCUCGGAAACUGGAUUGUCCAAUGGAAAAGCGAGGUCUACUUGAGAGGUGUUGCUUUCCGCCGACAAAUAAGGCACAUUCUCGCACUUAGUCUCGUAUGGGAAGAGCCGAUGAGGGUUGAUAACUGAUGCGGCAUUAUCAGCGCCCACCAGUGAAGGCUGCAAGGUGUUUGCCGGAGAGGUGGGGUAGGAUAUGGCAGGCCUCUGGCUGGCGCUGCCCUCUGAAUCAGUUUUGGAGAAAAGAAGUGCAGAGACACGUUUAAACGUCUGUGACACCCGCUUUCGCAUUCUGCCUUGUUUUGUUUUUUGUUUCUUCCGGUCUUUCUCCUCGUCAGAGCUGUGGUCAAAUAAUGAACUAAAUUAAUUAUUAGUGCGUGUAAGAGCUACACUCGAGGCGUUUCUUGAUCGUCCAAGGCUUCGGAUUGACACGCCGGAUUGACCGGUGCUUCUCCUUGUCAGAGGAGGAGAUGGGCCACUCAGCAAGGAGCCCGUACUUAACUCCAUAUAAUUCGGACUGGUAGGGCUACGAAACCCUAUGCGGGGAGUACUGGAAUUCGAGCUGCAAGCAUAUGGACGACAUGCCGACAUCAGCAUGUCUCCACAAACACCGUGUUGGCUUCGUCAUACCUAAUCCUUAUGACUGUCCCCCCAAUAGUCGCCAAUAUUGGGGGCUCUAACUCGCCUGCAGACGACGCAGCUGAGUCAGGUCGAUUGCGCCAUGCGGCCGGAUUGGGGGGAAGACCCAUUGAGAGCUCAAAUGGUGGAGCUACUUCAUUGUCAGUACGGAUAAGACAUGGAGGGCCAGGGAUUGGAGACCUCACUUUUGGCUUCACUAGGUGUACUUCUGUGGCUUCCAAAAGAGGAACGGCGGGUGGAAAUGCCAGGAUCAUAAUGUUGGCUCAUUUCAUGUGACUUUCGUGCUUUUCUGAUUAUGAAUGUGCUGAUCCUGAUCGAACAGCGUUUUUGUUCAGGCUAAUAUUCUGAUGUUUUAGAAUCAGUGAAUGAACAAAGAAA
rnacentral:sRNA from 1 species